GGCAGGUAGCCUAGUGGUUAGAGUGUAGAGGAGGCAGGUAGCCUAGUGGUUAGAGUGUAGAGGAGGCAGGUAGCCUAGUGGUUAGAGUGUAGAGGUGGCAGGUAGCCUAGUGGUUAGAGUGUAGAGGAGGCAGGUAGCCUAGUGGUUAGAGUGUAGAGGAGGCAGGUAGCCUAGUGGUUAGAGUGUAGAGGAGGCAGGGUAGCCUAGUGGUUAGAGUGUAGAGGAGGCAGGUAGCCUAGUGGUUAGAGUGUAGAGGAGGCAGGUAGCCUAGUGGUUAGAGCGUAGCCUAGGUGGCAGGUAGCCUAGUGGUUAGAGUGUAGAGGUGGCAGGGUAGCCUAGUGGUUAGAGUGUAGAGGAGGCAGGGUAGCCUAGUGGUUAGAGUGUAGAGGAGGCAGGGUAGCCUAGUGGUUAGAGUGUAGAGGAGGCAGGGUAGCCUAGUGGUUAGAGUGUAGAGGAGGCAGGGUAGGCUAGUGGUUAGAGUGUAGAGGAGGCAGGGUAGCCUAGUGGUUAGAGUGUAGAGGAGGCAGGGUAGCCUAGUGGUUAGAGUGUAGAGGUGGCAGGUAGCCUAGUGGUUAGAGUGUAGAGGGGGCAGGUAGCCUAGUGGUUAGAGUGUAGAGGAGGCAGGUAGCCUAGUGGUUAGAGUGUAGAGGUGGCAGGUAGCCUAGUGGUUAGAGUGUAGAGGUGGCAGGUAGCCUAGUGGUUAGAGUGUAGAGGCGGCAGGGUAGCCUAGUGGUUAGAG
ensembl:lncRNA